rnacentral:tRNA from 1 species
CCACCUGUGGCCUAGUGGGCAAGGUUACAGUCUUAGGAACAUGGGGUUGUUGGUUCAAGCCCAGCUAGGAACA